GGUGGGCAAGGAGCUACUUAAAUUGGGAAGAGAUAUGGUUUAUAGGCAGGCAUGUCUGACAAGACUGAAGGUCAAAUAGUAUGUAGGAGAUCCGAUGGGCCUUUGAGUUUUUCCCAAUCAGUUAGCACAACCGGGAAAUCCACAGGGCAGUGUCGUAAAAUGAUGGGUUUGCCAAGGCCUGGGGUCCAUAAUGCCCCAAAACAAACACAAGACGGGUGGCCAGCAGAACCAUCCAUCUGCACAGACCUGAGUUCCAGGCAGAUGAUAAAUCUAACUUGAGAAUACUGAAGCUGUGAAUACAGAUGUUUUUUGUGUUAAUUUUUUUAUGAUACACACAGAUCAGACCUCCUCAUAGUUUAGACCUCUUUGGACACAGAAAGGAAAACUAAGUCUUCACCUUUGGAAAACCACAAAGAAUCAGAAAAAUUUUCACUUAAGCUCAGUGAUACCAGUUUGAGAUAAAUACAAACAUACUUCCUGGCUCUGUCCACUGUAAAGGCUUAAGCAACAACACCCCAGAGAAAUGGAUGCACCUGACAAUCAGAUCUUGGUUUUUAAAUCCAUUUCCCACUGAAAGGAACCAACUAGGCUUGAGGGCCGAUUAGUAAACCAGGGAUCUUUUCAGUGGGAAAUUUAGAAAGCAAUCUGAGGAACAGCUGACUCCAAAUCCAGGACAGGAAACACGCAUCUGGGACCUCUUUACGUUGCCAGUGAGUAAGGAAACUACCAAAAACUAACACCAAAGGACACAGAAGCCAGUCUAGACAGGCUUCCACAGGCCAAAGAAAGAACAA